rnacentral:rRNA from 1 species
UACGGAGGAUGCGAGCGUUAUCCGGAUUUAUUGGGUUUAAAGGGUGCGUAGGCGGCCGAGUAAGUCAGCGGUGAAAUUUUGCAGCUUAACUGUAACAGUGCCGUUGAUACUGGGGAGCUAGGAUUUGGUUGCUGUGGGUGGAAUGUGUGGUGUAGCGGUGAAAUGCUUAGAGAUCACACAGAAUAUCGAUUGCGAAGGCAGCUCACAAAGCCAAGAUUGACGCUGAGGCACGAAAGUGUGGGGAUCAAACAGGAUUA